GGGUCCGGACACACUGAGGAUUGACAGGCAAUAUUAAUACGUUUUGCUUCGGUAAACGCGUAUUAUGUUAAAUAUGCUAGUCCUUUCAUGAUUAUGUGAUAGGUGGUGCAUGGCCGUUCUUAGUUCGUGAAGUGAUCUGUCAGCUUAAUUGCGUUUCACUAAGGGCCUAUAAAUUUACGUGUGUUGCAUCGCACUUUGACCCCUUUCUUUAAUUAGAGAGCGCGUGUCUUAGUUUUCGCUUUGCUCAUACAAUUAGGUCCUGAAAGCAACGAACGUGACCGCAACCUCUUGUUGCCUUUAUACCAAACAUGUUUUGCGUCAAUUUUUACGAAUUGCGCGCAUUUCAUGAAAAAAGGCUUUUUAAACUAGAGGGACCGCUGUUACUUUCUUAAACCAGAGGAAGGUUGCGGCAAUAACAGGUCUGUGAUGCCCUUAGAUGUUCCGGGCUGCACACGUGCUACAAUGAUUAUUGCAGUGAGCAUCUCAUUUUUACACACCGCAUGCGCGAGUCCAUUUAUUCACCUUCGGGUGUUUUAAAUGUGUAUCUCUGCGCGCGGUAAAGCCUGCUUCGACAGUAAGUGGGU
rnacentral:rRNA from 1 species